rnacentral:rRNA from 1 species
UACGUAGGUGGCAAGCGUUGUCCGGAUUUACUGGGCGUAAAGAGCGCGCAGGCGGCCAAGUCAGUCGAAUGUGAAAGCCCCCGGCCUUAACUGGGGAGGGUCAUUCGAUACUGCUCGGCUCGAAGACAGGAGAGGGAAGCGGAAUUCCCGGUGUAGUGGUGAAAUGCGUAGAUAUCGGGAGGAACACCAGUGGCGAAAGGCGGCU